CUAACACAUGCAAGUCGAACGGAGCUUAGAGAGCUUGCUUUUUAAGCUUAGUGGCGAACGGGUGAGUAACGCGUGAGUAACCUGCCCUAGAGUGGGGGACAACAGUUGGAAACGACUGCUAAUACCGCAUAAGCCCACGGGUAUCGCAUGGCACUGAGGGAAAAGGAUUUUAUUCGCUUUUAGGAUGGACUCGCGUCCAAUUAAGUAGGUUGGUGAGGUAACGGCCCACCAAGGCGACGAUUGGUAGCCGGACUGAGAGGUUGAACGGCCACAUUGGGACUGAGACACGGCCCAGACUCUUACGGGAGGCAGCAGUGGGGGAUAUUGCACAAUGGGGGAAACCCUGAUGCAGCGACGCCGCGUGGAGGAAGAAGGUUUUCGGAUUGUAAACUCCUGUCGUUAGGGACGAUAAUGACGGUACCUAACAAGAAAGCACCGGCUAACUACGUGCCAGCAGCCGCGGUAAAACGUAGGGUGCAAGCGUUGUCCGGAAUUACUGGGUGUAAAGGGAGCGCAGGCGGGAAGACAAGUUGGAAGUGAAAACCAUGGGCUCAACCCAUGAAUUGCUUUCAAAACUGUUUUUCUUGAGUAGUGCAGAGGUAGAUGGAAUUCCCGGUGUAGCGGUGGAAUGCGUAGAUAUCGGGAGGAACACCAGUGGCGAAGGCGGUCUACUGGGCACCAACUGACGCUGAGGCCCGAAAGCAUGGGUAGCAAACAGGAUUCGAUCCCCUGGUAGUCCAUGCCGUAAACGAUGUUUAUUAGGUGUUGGGGGGAUUGACCCCCUCAGUGCCGCAGUUAACACAAAUAAGUAAUCCACCUGGGGAGUACGACCGCAAGGGUGAAACUCAAAGGAAUUGACGGGGGCCCGCACAAGCAGUGGAGUAUGUGGUUUAAUUCGAAGCAACGCGAAGAACCUUACCAGGUCUUGACAUCUGAUGCAUAGCACAGAGAUGUGUGAAAUCCUUCGGGACAUCGAGACAGGUGGUGCAUGGUUGUCGUCAGCUCGUGUCGUGAGAUGUUGGGUUAAGUCCCGCAACGAGCGCAACCCUUAUUGCCAGUUACUACGUUAAGAGGACUCUGGCGAGACUGCCGUUGACAAAACGGAGGAAGGUGGGGAUGACGUCAAAUCAUCAUGCCCUUUAUGACCUGGGCUACACACGUACUACAAUGGCAUUAAACAAAGAGAAGCAAGACCGCGAGGUGGAGCAAAACUCAAAAACAACGUCUCAGUUCAGAUUGCAGGCUGCAACUCGCCUGCAUGAAGUCGGAAUUGCUAGUAAUCGCGGAUCAGCAUGCCGCGGUGAAUACGUUCCCGGGCCUUGCACU
rnacentral:rRNA from 1 species